UCCUUUUUGGCCUGACACUCCC
rnacentral:piRNA from 1 species